rnacentral:misc_RNA from 1 species
GUACGACUUAUCCUCUUUAGAAGAUAAAAUGGAUUUUUCAUUUGAUAUAUUUAUCUCUAAAGCCUCUAGCUUUUUGAUAUGGAAUGUUUGGAGGACUCCUUUCAGUUGGUAUGCCGUCCGUUGUUCCAUUGGUCAUGUAUCGGAUAAUGAAUCUUUAUCUAGAUGAAUAGUUAACCAAUUUUAAAAGCAUCGUGAAGAGGGGAUCUGCUAUUCAUGUUCUUGUUAUUGUUCAUGUAUGUUCUAGGCUUUGAUUAAGCAGAUGCUAAAGUUGGUGCUCUUGAUUCUAGGCUUUGAUUAAGCAGAUGCUAAAGUUGGUGCUCUUGA